UUUGGAGCAAUUUAAUUUUUUUCUUUUAUGUUUUUUUAACUUUCUUUCUUUUCCAUUCUCUUAUGCUUCUCCCUUUGUUUUCCUCCCUUCUCCAUUUCUUUCAACGUAGUUUUUCUAUGUUUUAUUUUUUUGAACAAUUUAAUUUUUUUGAGUGAGGCGAGCUUGUGGACUAGUUACAAAUGGAAAGCAUAGAAAAACUAUGUUAAAA
rnacentral:lncRNA from 1 species